GAUGAACGCUGGCGGCGUGCCUAAUACAUGCAAGUCGAGCGAACGGACGAGAAGCUUGCUUUUCUGAUGUUAGCGGCGGACGGGUGAGUAACACGUGGAUAACCUACCUAUAAGACUGGGAUAACUUCGGGAAACCGGAGCUAAUACCGGAUAAUAUUUUGAACCGCAUGGUUCAACAGUGAAAGACGGUCUUGCUGUCACUUAUAGAUGGAUCCGCGCUGCAUUAGCUAGUUGGUAAGGUAACGGCUUACCAAGGCAACGAUGCGUAGCCGACCUGAGAGGAUGAUCAGCCACACUGGAACUGAGACACGGUCCAGACUCCUACGGGAGGCAGCAGUAGGGAAUCUUCGGCAAUGGGCGAAAGCCUGACGGAGCAACGCCGCGUGAGUGAUGAAGGUCUUCGGAUCGUAAAACUCUGUUAUUAGGGAAGAACAGAAGUGUAAGUAACUGUGCACAUCUUGACGGUACCUAAACAGAAAGCCACGGCUAACUACGUG
rnacentral:rRNA from 1 species